rnacentral:misc_RNA from 1 species
GUUUUAGUUUAAUAAAACGCGUUUCUCAAAAAGAAUCGCUAGGAGACUCAGAUUAUAUAAAAAAAUGGUGUGUUUAUUAAAACUGACAGCCCAUAAAAAUAUGGAAAAACAAAACAUGACAUUUUAUUUUUUCAAAUUUUUAGUUUGGAGGGCCGCCAAAAUACUUAUAACAGUUCACAAGGGGGUGUAAUAUCAUACAUCAAACUUUCAUUAAAAAAGUAUUGAUGAUGAGUAUUCAGUAAUGAUCCAACCGCAGGUUCACCUACGGUUA